GCUAGGUACUUCAAUCCAAGGGUUAAGGCUAGAGACAAUUGAAAAAAGAGGAAAUUAAAUUCCCCAUUUACAUCAUUUGAGGAGAAUAAAAAAAACAAAAAAAGAAAGUUGAGAAAGACUCCAAGUUUUCAUUAGAUGAUUUAUUUUCACAAAUUGAAAAAUUAGGCGAGAAAGAGGAAGAGACAGCUUCAGAGCAACCACCACUAACAGAAAUUGUUUCACCCAAGCCAAAUGUACAUAUUGACACAGCAGGGCAACUUCAUCUAACACCAUCUGAUAAAGUAGAGGUACAACUCAUUACAGAACCUGAUGAACAGAGUCAAAUAUUUGAUCUUAUAUUAGAGGAGGUGGUCGAAGAUGUAAAUAAAGAGGAAGAGCAGCAGGAGGACUCAAACCCAAAAGUUGUAGAUGACCAUCCAGUUAAGGUUCUACCCGCAUCAUUGGUUAUAGAUUUUCCCGCUAGAAGUCAAAUUCCACAGUACAUGCUUGAAGUGAUCGAUCUAUGCUGCAACAAAUACACUUUCAAGGAUGAUCUUAUAAUUAUCAUGGGACAUGCAUCAAUGAGUCGACAAGGUCUUAAA